CCCUUUGAUCACAUCUCAUUUUCAGGGGGAG
rnacentral:piRNA from 1 species